UGUUGCUGAUAACUAUGGCCUCUCAACCCUGCUGUUAGCCUCUCCUGUCUCCUGACAACCUGCAGACCUGGAUUCCCUUGGGUUUCUGUGGAGAGGUUUCCAUAGGCUGAGGAAUGACUGCACCUCAACUAAAGUUGGCAGGGAUCAGCUGACAUAGAUGUCUAGAAGGGAGUAAAGAAAAGGAACCCCUCAGGAGUCAUAGGAUGAGACUGGAGAAGAGAGUGAAAGGAGCCUGCCAGAACUUAUUGUGGCCUCCAUAAAGGUUAGGCAAAACUGCAGCUCCAGGGUUUUAAGGACUACAGGCCUGCUCCAUUCCCUGCGGGUAUACAAGGUACCAAAGUGAACAGAAGAAGUCAGCUCUACCCUCCCUACACACUGGCUAGAUUAGCUGACCGGCCA